AUUGAACGCUGGCGGCAUGCUUUACACAUGCAAGUCGAACGGUAACAGGGUGCUUGCACCGCUGACGAGUGGCGAACGGGUGAGUAAUGCGUCGGAACGUGCCGAGUAGUGGGGGAUAACGCAGCGAAAGUUGUGCUAAUACCGCAUACGUACUGAGGUAGAAAGUGGGGGACCUUCGGGCCUCACGCUAUUCGAGCGGCCGACGUCUGAUUAGCUAGUAGGUGAGGUAAAGGCUCACCUAGGCGACGAUCAGAAGCGGGUCUGAGAGGAUGAUCCGCCACACUGGGACUGAGACACGGCCCAGACUCCUACGGGAGGCAGCAGUGGGGAAUUUUGGACAAUGGGCGAAGCCUGAUCCAGCCAUGCCGCGUGUCUGAAGAAGGCCUUCGGGUUGUAAAGGACUUUUGUCAGGGAGGAAAUCCCUAGUGCUAAUAACACUGGGGGAUGACAGUACCUGAAGAGUAAGCACCGGCUAACUACGUGCCAGCCGCCGCCGUAA
rnacentral:rRNA from 1 species